rnacentral:rRNA from 1 species
UAGGGAAUCUUCGGCAAUGGACGAAAGUCUGACCGAGCAACGCCGCGUGAGUGAAGAAGGUUUUCGGAUCGUAAAACUCUGUUGUUAGCGAAGAACAAGGACGUUAGUAACUGAACGUCCCCUGACGGUAUCUAACCAGAAAGCCACGGCUAACUACGUGCCAGCAGCCGCGGUAAUACGUAGGUGGCAAGCGUUGUCCGGAUUUAUUGGGCGUAAAGCGAGCGCAGGCGGUUUCUUAAGUCUGAUGUGAAAGCCCCCGGCUCAACCGGGGAGGGUCAUUGGAAACUGGGAGACUUGAGUGCAGAAGAGGAGAGUGGAAUUCCAUGUGUAGCGGUGAAAUGCGUAGAUAUAUGGAGGAACACCAGUGGCGAAGGCGGCUCUCUGGUCUGUAACUGACGCUGAGGCUCGAAAGCGUGGGGAGCAAACAGG